UCAGGACACARACACUGUUAUUCCAAUAAUGGAGCAUACACUCUGUACAAUCAAGCAGGAGAAUCCCGAUAUCAAUACAGCUUACUACCGUCAUGACAAUGCUGGCUGUUACCAUAGCGUCCCCCUGAUUAUCGCAUGCCACCUAAUGGAAAAGUCAACUGGCAUCAAGGUCGCUAGAGUAGACUUCAGUGAACCACAAGGAGGUAAAGGGUCGUGUGACUGAAAGGCAGCUAACAUCAAGGCCCAUAUAAGACGCCAUCUAAAUGAAGGCAAUGAUGUCGAGACUCCUGAAGACCUAUACAAAGCCAUUACAUCGGGUGAAGKUGUUCGAGGGGUACGAGUAGCAUUGGUAGAUGCAGGUUCUGCUACUAGCAUCAACACGGGUAAACUGGAGGGAAUCAGCAUGCUGAAUAACUUUAGCUAUAGUGAASAUGGUCUAACYUGCUGGAGGGCCUAUGGGAUAGGUAAAGGAAAGACUGAAAAGUGGUCGAGUCUCAAAGCGCCCGAAACACUGACAACGGUCAAAUUUCAAAGUCCAUUCAGCGCUGGCGACUUUGAAAAUAUUGCCUCCAGAGCAAUACGUAAAAGUCGUGUUCUGGCUUCGGAAGAUCCAGAUUGUGAUGAAAGUGACAGUGACGUCGACGAGGGUACCGGUGACUCCAGCCCGAAGCUGUUUAGCUGCCCUGUAGAAGGAUGUAUUCGCGUAUAACAGCGAUAUAGUUCCCUUGAGCGUCAUUUAGAGUGUGGAAAAUGUCAACUCAAGCAGGAGAAGGAGACGCUAU